UUAAGCAUAUCAAUAAGCGAGGAAAAGAANCCAACAGGGAUUGCCUCAGUAACUUGCGAGUAAGCGGCAAGAGCUCAAAUUUGAAAUCUGGCGCCUUUGGCGUCCGAGUUGUAAUUUGAAUARGCRUSGKUCGGGUGGGGGSGCCGSCYUAAGUUCCUUGGAACAGGACGUCAUAGAGGGUGAGAAUCCCGUUCUCGGCCGGCUGUCCCUGCUCAUGUGAAGUGUCUUCSACGAGUCGAGUUGUUUGGGAAUGCAGCUCAAAAUGGGUGGUAAACUCCAUCUAAAGCUAAAUAUUGGCGAGAGACCGAUAGCGCACAAGUAGAGUGAUCGAAAGAUGAAAAGCACUUUGAAAAGAGAGUUAAACAGUACGUGAAAUUGUUGAAAGGGAAGCGCUUGAGACCAGACUCAGCGGGAGGUGAUCAGCGUCGGUUCUCCGGCGUGCACUUGCCUCUCGCUGGGCCAGCAUCGGUUGCGGCGGUGGGAUAAAGACUUGGGGAAUGUGGCCCGCUUCGGUGGGUGUUAUAGCCCCGGGUGUCAUGCCGCCUGCUGCGACCGAGGACCGCGCUCUGCUUAGCUAGGAUGCUGGCGUAAUGGUCUUCAACCACCCNUCUUGAAACACCGACCAAGGAGUCUAACAUCUAUGCGAGUGUUCGGGUGGAAAACCCUUGCGCGUAAUGAAAGUGAACGGAGGUGUGAAGCCGCACGGCCGCAACAUCGACCGAUCCUGAUGUCUUCGGAUGGAUUUAAGUAGGAGCAUAGCUGUUGGGACCCGAAAGAUGGUGAACUAUGCCUGAAUAGGGUGAAGCCAGAGGAAACUCUGGUGGAGGCUCGCAGCGGUUCUGACGUGCAAAUCGAUCGUCAAAUUUGGGUAUAGGGGCGAAAGACUAAUCGAACCAUCUAGUAGCUGGUUCCUGCCGAAGUUUCCCU
rnacentral:rRNA from 1 species